rnacentral:piRNA from 1 species
UAAACAGUGGAAAGAGAAGCAGC